AGCGAACGCUGGCGGCAUGCCUUACACAUGCAAGUCGAACGGUAACAGGUCUUCGGAUGCUGACGAGUGGCGAACGGGUGAGUAAUGUAUCGGAACGUGCCCAGUUGUGGGGGAUAACUACUCGAAAGAGUGGCUAAUACCGCAUACGACCUGAGGGUGAAAGCGGGGGAUCGCAAGACCUCGCGCAAUUGGAGCGGCCGAUAUCAGAUUAGGUAGUUGGUGGGGUAAAGGCUCACCAAGCCAACGAUCUGUAGCUGGUCUGAGAGGACGACCAGCCACACUGGGACUGAGACACGGCCCAGACUCCUACGGGAGGCAGCAGUGGGGAAUUUUGGACAAUGGACGCAAGUCUGAUCCAGCCAUGCCGCGUGCGGGAAGAAGGCCUUCGGGUUGUAAACCGCUUUUGUCAGGGAAGAAACGAGUGCCUCUAAUACAGAUGCUUAAUGACGGUACCUGAAGAAUAAGCACCGGCUAACUACGUGCCAGCAGCCGCUGUAACAC
rnacentral:rRNA from 1 species